rnacentral:rRNA from 1 species
UACGUAGGGUGCGAGCGUUGUUCGGAUUCAUUGGGCGUAAAGGGUGCGUAGGCGGCGGGGAAAGUCUGAUGUGAAAUCCUGGGGCUCAACCCUGGAACUGCAUUGGAUACUUCCUUGCUAGAGUACUGGAGAGGAAACUGGAAUUUACGGUGUAGCAGUGAAAUGCGUAGAGAUCGUAAGGAAGACCAGUGGCGAAGGCGAGUUUCUGGACAGUUACUGACGCUGAGGCACGAAGGCCAGGGGAGCAAACGGG